rnacentral:rRNA from 1 species
UACGUAGGGUGCGAGCGUUGCUCGGAAUUAUUGGGCGUAAAGAGCUCGUAGGCGGCUCGGUAAGUCGGGUGUGAAACCUCCAGGCUCAACCUGGAGACGCCACUCGAUACUGCCGUGGCUAGAGUCCGGUAGAGGAGCGUAGAAUUCCUGGUGUAGCGGUGAAAUGCGCAGAUAUCAGGAGGAAUACCAGCGGCGAAGGCGGCGCUCUGGGCCGGAACUGACGCUGAGGAGCGAAAGCGUGGGGAGCAAACAGG